CUGGCCCUAAACUUUUGCCUCUGUAACUCUAAAUACAAGGCCUCUGUUAAGGCUGCUAGCCUUUUCCUUUGCAGGCUCUGUUGCAGUGCACCAUGGCUGACACAGAAGUCAGUAGGAAUUGUUCUCUCUCACUCCUGCCCUUCCCCCAUCUUCCAACGUUUUCAUACAUAAAUUAUGUUCAGCUCAGUCAUUCUGUUUCUGUUUCCAUGACAAUUAUUCUAAUAUAUAAAGUUCCAUAGUUUCCACUUCCAGUAUGCCAUUUCGUUCCUGGUAUAGCAUUCCUUGGAGUUAAUAAUCUCCUUUGAUUUUCUUUUGAUAAUUUUCUGUGGAGCACUUAUUAAUUUAACUUGGGUUAUAUUGCUAUUUGUAAGAUUCAAGAAGUUCUGACUUUGUUGAUUUUAAUUUAUUUUAUUUUUACUUUUUAUUUCUUCAAAAUAAAUAUAUGUUCUGGGCCCUUCUGACAUACUUGCGUCUCGACUGGGCUUCUGUAUCUGAGGCAGAACCACCAUCCCAGCUACUUGGGAGGCUGGAGCAGGAAGAUCACAAUUUUGAGGCCAGGCUGGGAAAUUUUGUGCAAUUCUGUCUCAAAAACUGGAGUGAUGUGGGCUGGGGAUACAAUCAGUAAGAACAUCCUAGGGUGCCGUCGGCAG
rnacentral:lncRNA from 1 species